GAGGUUGUGACUCAGUGGUAGAGUGCUCACCUAGCAUGUGCGAGGCCCUGGGUUCGAUCCUUAGCACCACA
rnacentral:tRNA from 1 species